GACGAACGCUGGCGGCGUGCUUAACACAUGCAAGUCGAGCGAUGAACCUUUCAUGAAUUUUUCGGAAUGAUUGGAAGAGGAUUAGCGGCGGACGGGUGAGUAACGCGUGAGCAACCUGCCUUAAACAACGGGAUAGCCUCGGGAAACCGGGAUUAAUACCGUAUGAGACCCCGCCUUCACAUGAAGAAGAGGUUAAAGAUUUAUCGGUUUAAGAUGGGCUCGCGUCUGAUUAGCUAGUUGGUGAGAUAAAAGCCCACCAAGGCAACGAUCAGUAACCGGCUUGAGAGAGUGAACGGUCACAUUGGAACUGAGACACGGUCCAAACUCCUACGGGAGGCAGCAGUGGGGAAUAUUGCACAAUGGGGGAAACCCUGAUGCAGCGACGCCGCGUGAGCGAUGAAGGAAUUCGUUUCGUAAAGCUCUGUCCAAGGGGAAGAUAAUGACAGUACCCUUGGAGGAAGCCCCGGCUAAAUACGUGCCAGCCGCCGCGGUAAUAC
rnacentral:rRNA from 1 species